GAGAGUCGUUCCCUGAAAUCCGCGUUGCACUCUGACAGCUGACAGUCCUCUGGUUUUGAAGGGGUCCGCCAUUGGACAAGCGAUGUAUGGAAAACAAGAAAAUCUCUUUUAUAAUGAUGAUGUAUUCCAUAUCAUUGGCGAUGCGGCGUAUCCAUGUAAAACCUGGCUUUUAACGCCUUAUAGACAAACUGGAAGGCUCACACAACAACAAGCCAAAUACAACAAACAAUUGAGUAGCGUACGUGUGGU